CUUUAUUAUAACAAGACA
rnacentral:snRNA from 1 species